AAUUAUGGUGAGCUGACAAGGCAGCAUAUGCUGGCCGUUUCCUUUGGCGGUAGUCCUAACCUUGUUCAGUUCACCACCCAU
rfam:Vibrio mangrovi strain CECT 7927 genome assembly, contig: 0020